UCCUAGGUGGUCCAGUGGUUAGGACUCUAUGAUUCCGCUGCAGGGGGCUCGGGUUCGAUUCCUGGUCAAGGAA
rnacentral:tRNA from 1 species